CCUCCCACCCGUGUUGCCCGAACCUAUGUUGCCUCGGCGGGCCCCGCGCCCGCCGACGGCCCCCCUGAACGCUGUCUGAAGUUGCAGUCUGAGACCUAUAACGAAAUUAGUUAAAACUUUCAACAACGGAUCUCUUGGUUCCGGCAUCGAUGAAGAACGCAGCGAAAUGCGAUAACUAAUGUGAAUUGCAGAAUUCAGUGAAUCAUCGAGUCUUUGAACGCACAUUGCGCCCUCUGGUAUUCCGGAGGGCAUGCCUGUCCGAGCGUCAUUGCUGCCCUCAAGCCCGGCUUGUGUGUUGGGCCCCGUCCCCCCCGCCGGGGGGACGGGCCCGAAAGGCAGCGGCGGCACCGCGUCCGGUCCUCGAGCGUAUGGGGCUUCGUCACCCGCUCUAGGUAGGCCCGGCCGGCGCCAGCCGACCCCCAACCUUUAAUUAUGUCAGGUUGACCUCGGAUCAGGUAGGGAUACCCGCUGAACUUAAGCAUAUCAAAGAACAGAGGAAAGUGCGGGCCCUCGGGGCCAACUCACCGUGUUGCCGAACUAUGUUGCCUCGGCGGGC
rnacentral:rRNA from 1 species